UCAAACAUUAACACUUACAACUCUUAAAAGAACCUUUUUUUUUUCUUAGUGUGAAGAUAAUUUAAAAAUCUAAAGAACCCUUUUUUGGAAUGAAAAGAUUCUAUUGAUGUUAAAGGUUCUUAAUGGAACAAUCAAUGUCAAUAAAUAACCAUUAUUUUUAAGAGUGUAAAUCAAGCAGUUCAAAACAGACCUGUAUACUAGUGCUACCAUACUAGUCCUGCACUAUAUUGUGCACAGUAUUCUCAUUUUUUAAACAUAUAAAACCAGUAUGACCGACUGCACAUUAGUGAAGGGUCAUUUAUGAACAGUUUGUUAAUUUUGCCUCUGCUGUGUGACAAACGAGCAAAACACUCAGACUUGAAGACACAGGUGAAAUGAUAAACAGCUGUAGCAAAAUCAUGUCCUUAAUGCAGCAUUUUGUUCAUGCAAAUUUUUUAGUUUUAGAAUGAAGUAUACACAUAUGAAAAAAGUGCCCAUAUUUACAGAAUCACCCUAUUACUAAUUUACAUGUUGUGCAACAUCCUAUUACUCAACAUUAACCAAUAAUUGGCAUUGCGUUA